GAAUUUUGGACAAUGGGCGAAAGCCUGAUCCAGCAAUGCCGCGUGCAGGAUGAAGGCCUUCGGGUUGUAAACUGCUUUUGUACGGAACGAAAAGCUUUGGGUUAAUAACUUGGGGUCCUGACGGUAACGUGAGAGUAAGCACAGCCUAACGACGUGCCAGCAACCGCGGUAAUACGUGGGGUGCAAGCGUUAAUCGGAAUUACUGGGCGUAAAGCGUGCGCAGGCGGUUUUGUAAGACAGAGGUGAAAUCCCCGGGCUCAACCUGGGAACUGCCUUUGUGACUGCAAGGCUAGAGUACGGCAGAGGGGGGUGGAAUUCCGCGUGUAGCAGUGAAAUGCGUAGAUAUGCGGAGGAACACCGAUGGCGAAGGCAACCCCCUGGGCCUGUACUGACGCUCAUGCACGAAAGCGUGGGGAGCAAACAGG
rnacentral:rRNA from 1 species